rnacentral:lncRNA from 1 species
GCACACACAAGAAUUCACCUUCAGAAAACUGAUACUUAAAAGAAUAUUUAUCUAUAUAAGCAUACCUUUGGGAGUAUACAUGCCUUGCUGCAUAGAACCUCCAGGUUCAAAAACAGGAGCUUUAAAAUCAGCUACAGCUGAUAAAACUGAUUCAAAGCUAUAGCUGCCUGGAAUAAUGCCACUUUUGGGAUUGGGAUUUUCUGGAAUGAGGUCCAGCAACGAACUAUGUGUUCUGUCAUUCAUACACAGCUGGGCUACCAUCUCCGCCCGGAGAAUCUCAUCAUCAGACAUUCCUAAAAUAAUUUAAAAUAGAACUAAUAAAUCUGAAUAAAUACAAAUUAUAAAGAAACAACUUACCCCAUAUUUU